rnacentral:lncRNA from 1 species
UCUUAGCGGGUACUAGAAUCCACAUAAACUGCACAUGGGUUCGACUUUGGUCGGUUAAUCCAUGUGCAUCUAUGGGUAAGUUCUUAACCAAUUAUUUUUUCAAACAACUUUUAGUAAUUAAUUUUGCCCCAAAUUUCAUUUCAGUAGGCUAGGACCUCCACUGAAAGUCCUGGUUAGGUCUAACCAUUAACAUAACCAUGCUCAGCCUAUCUAACUAAUAAAUGAUCAGGUCCAACUUUGGUUGACCAACCUAACUACCCAUC